CUUACCCUCCUGAUCAUGUUGAUGACCUUGCUGGAGAAAGAUUUUGCUUUUCAAACGAAGGACAGCAUACAGAACCCUUGCGAAAUUACGACUACGCUACCCUGAAUGUUCAAACGCAUGGAAGGUUGAACUAAAAUUGUCUUUAUUAGAUGACUGAAAGGUACUUCUUGAGAUAUGCAAAUCUUCAACUGUGGAGCCCACUUGCAACUGUUGCUCUUUUAAGCUAUUUUUAAUCCAGGUUGUAUUUUAAGAAUGUUCUAAAUCUGUCCCUAGCUGUUACAUGAAUAUUAAUAAAAGAAUAAUUAUUCUUUUAUAUUAAUGCAUGGCAAAGGAAGGAAGGAAAGAAGGAAAGAAGGAGGGAGGGAAGACAGAAGGAAGGAAGGAAGGAAGGAAGGAAGGAAGGAACUCCAGCUUUAAAUAGAAGAUACUUUUAACUAACUAUGGCUAAAUAGAGAAGUGUCUGGCUGCAAAUUUAAAUGCCUUACAAUUUGUAAUUACUGGCAGUAGGGCCCUUGGCUUUCCUUAUAGCCACCAAGGGACAAAACAUCCAUUGGAAGGCACUUGGAGACAAAGACAAGGGUUAGAAAUUGGAGAGAAUGGAUAGGCUGCCUCCUCGGUGUAGGUACAUACAGCAACUUGGCACAUGCUUCUGCCCUGUUGUUAUUGUUAUCUUGCACUGCAUUUUCUAUACAUCAAAACCUUCUUUCUGCAAGUCAUCCUGGCCAAAGUCUCUAAGCAGGCUGAGGAAUUCUGGAAGUCGAAGUCAAAAUAUGUCAUCUUAAAGUCGCCAAAAUGUUUGUUCCAUUUUGCAUUCUUCAGGACAAAUGCUGCCUUUCUUUUCACAAAGUCUUCUCUGAAACAGAACUGCUUAGAAAACUGUGUGAAAUUGUUUAGCCAGAUCUCCCAACUUUAUCACUUUGGCACCUCCAGAACUCUUUGUAAAUCGGGGAGUGCCAUCUUCUGGUUAGAUAUUAAACUGCAGGAGAAAUAAAAUGGGUUCCCUAGAGAAUAAAUUCAGAGCUGAAUUUAUGCCAAAGUCCCUUUUGUUUGCGAUGCUCCAUUGUGCUGCUACUCACACACACACCAACACACAUACAAACACACACACAAUUGUGGCUUUCUUCUCACAUGUCCAUGACUACAAUGCAGUAUCCUCUGUUGUAACAAAAAAAAAAAACCCACCCUACAUCAAUGCAUAGCAUUGUAAUUGUGGGAGAAGUUGGAGGAGUAUAAACGGUUCCUUGUACUUUAUCAUCUGUGUUUAUAGCAGAAUCCACAUUGAAAGCCACAAGUACAACCCCAUGCAAUGUGGAAGGUCUCACGGACCAUUUCAAACAUUUCUUAAAAUAAAGCUUCUCUAAAUGCAUGUGCUGUUUUCCAUAUUGGCUUUAAAAUAACAAAACUGAAUUUUUAUUCACAGCUGUGUCUAUCUAAUCAUCCCUCCCUUUCCAUAAUUGAAGGAGAGGAAAUGGAAGACAACCAUGAAUUCCUCGCUUGCAAAUGCUUGGCUACUCCAGCAAUAAAAAAAAGUGAAGUGAACAAAAUUCCUGAAACUCCCAUGGCACCAAACUGGUGGAUUUAAUGAAAUGUCUCCAGCAAUGGUAGGUUCCGAACCGGUUUACUACCGGUUUGCUGAGCGCGCGGGCCAGACACAUGCUGCGUGUGGGUGCACAACUGAACAAAAAUUAGUCAGAAAUAAAACGGAAAACAGCUGAGGAGUGACAAUUCAAGCUGCUGCCCCAGAUCAGCUGCGUUUCGGAAGCUGGAAUAGAGUUUGCUGUUUAGUUGGAUGAAAGAGUGAGUGUUGCUGAGAAAAAGAAGGCCUUUGUAAUCAGAACAUCAUCAUCUGAGAUUUGAGAGGAAUAGAUAUUUAAGGUAUGGUAGAGCUAGGGUUAAUACAUAUUUUAAAAACCAUUAUAGAUAGUCCUUGACUUACAAUCAGUGAUGUGCGGUGAGGUUUAU